rnacentral:misc_RNA from 1 species
GAUGAAGAACGCAGCGAAAUGCGAUACUUGGUGUGAAUUGCAGAAUCCCGUGAACCAUCGAGUCUUUGAACGCAAGUUGCGCCUCAAGCCAUUAGGUUGAGGGCACGUCUGCCUGGGCGUCACAUAUCGUUGCCUGAUGCCAGUUUCCUCGUGAUGGGUGACUGUGCAGGGCGAAUGAUGGCUUCCCGUGAGCAUUGUUGCCUCAUGGUUGGUUGAAAAUUGAGUCCUUGGUAGGGAGCGCCGUGAUAGAUGGUGGUUGAGUGACGAACGAGACCCAAUCAUGUGAGACCCCUACCGAAUUUGGCCUUCAUGACCCACACGCGUCUUUUGACGCUCAUGACGAGACCUCAGGUCAGGCGGGGCUACCCGCUGAAUUUAAGCAUAUCAAUAAGCGGAGGA